CCUACGGGCGGCAGCAGUGGGGAAUAUUGGGCAAUGGGCGCAAGCCUGACCCAGCAACGCCGCGUGAAGGAAGAAGGCUUUCGGGUUGUAAACUUCUUUUCUGGUGGACGAACAAAUGACGGUACCCCAGGCAUAAGCCACGGCUAACUACGGUCCAGCAGCCGCGGUAAUACGUAGGUGGCAAGCGUUAUCCGGAUUUAUUGGGUGUACAGGGCGUGUAGGCGGGAAUGCAAGUCAGAUGUGAAAACUCAGGGCUCAACCCUGAGCCUGCAUUUGAAACUGUGUUUCUUGAGUGCUGGAGAGGCAAGCGGAAUUCCGGGUGUAGCGGUGAAAUGCGUAGAUAUACGGAGGAACACCAGUGGCGAAGGCGGAUUGCUGGACAGUAACUGACGCUGAGGCGCGAAAGCGUGGGGAGCAAACAGGAUUAGAUACCCGUGUAGUC
rnacentral:rRNA from 1 species